AACGCAAAUGAAGAUGGGUUCAAAAGGCAGCGUUUCGUAAUGGAGAUGGAAAACCCUCUGCUCGCAUGUUGCUACUGAAGGGCUUUGGGAAAGAUGGCUUCCGCUUCUUCACUAACUUCGAGAGUCGAAAAGGAAAAGAGCUGGACUCUAAUCCCUUUGCUUCCCUUGUCUUCUACUGGGAGCCGCUUAACCGUCAGGUGCGUGUGGAAGGCCCUGUGAAGAAGCUGCCCGAGGAGGAGGCUGAGUGCUACUUCCACUCCCGCCCCAAGAGCAGCCAGAUUGGGGCUGUGGUCAGCCACCAGAGUUCUGUGAUCCCUGAUCGGGAGUAUCUGAGAAAGAAAAAUGAGGAACUGGAACAGCUCUACCAGGAUCAAGAGGUGCCCAAGCCAAAAUCCUGGGGUGGCUAUGUCCUGUACCCUCAGGUGAUGGAGUUCUGGCAAGGUCAAACCAACCGCCUGCAUGACCGGAUAGUCUUUCGGCGGGGCCUA
rnacentral:sRNA from 1 species